AGAGAAGAAAAAGAAAAAUCAGAGGGAAAUUGUAUUGUGAUCUUGAGGAAGUCUUUUUUAGUGAACAGUUCUUCUCAAAAAUUUUGAGGUUAUAAGAAAGUUUUUGCAAAAAGAUGCCCCCUAGAGGACUAAGUUUUUUUUAGAAUCUCUAGUAAAAUUAGCAUGUCCAUGAUAGGAAGUAACAUAUAGGAAGCAUAAAAAUUAGAGAGAAUUUUGAGACCCAGUCAUCCUAAUUU
rnacentral:misc_RNA from 1 species